AAUGCAAAAUUGCUGUCAGUCCUAUUAUAAGCACAUCGUUUAUUUAUCAGUAAUUUAUUUAUUUACUUAUUUAUUUAUUUAUUUAUUUAUUUAGAGAGAGAGAGAGAGAGAGAGAGAGAGAGAGAGAGAGAGAGAGAGAGAGAGAGAGAGAGAGAGUGUGUAUUCGCCCUCAUUACGGAGAAAACCGUGUGGGAUGAGAGAGGCAGGCGAGGCGUGACGGCAGCAGGUUGGAGAGGUAACGCAAAGGGAGGCAGCGUGGGCGUUAGUUUCUCCUCAGCCACCACCACACACAUAUCCGUUCCCUGCUGCUGCUGCUGGCUAACCAGGGCUUAUCAGCAUCUUCUGGCGACUGGUCUCUACUCUUCAGAAAACCACUCAGAAGCGUCAGUGCUACGUGGAAGAUUUGGAAGUGGUCAGCUUCUUUCUUAGGCAUUAGCAAUCAUAUUCCAAUAAGUAAGCCUUGAAGAAACGGUAAAAACUGAGAGAAAAUAUCAUACCGAAAGCAAUGGUGUGGUCAACGUUGCUUCUCGCGGUGAUAGUGGAAGGUGCAGCUAAAAUCCUGGUGAGUAGUGGGGUGUCGGAGAGCAGUGAACAGUUUGGAAUCAGCACUGAUGUCGUGUCCAGCCCACAACGCCGCUUGAUCCGCCAGGCAGUGUCAGAGAGCAGUAUGGUCCAGCUCGCUAACGCCUCUGGAUCCAGAACAAGAGAUGUAUACGAUUUUACUAAGUCGUUCCACGUAGGGACGAGUUGUCAUGACCUGCAAGCAAGCCAGGGCGCUUCACGCAGCGGCAUCUACCUGGUGCACCCACCCAACCUGCUGCAGGGCCCUUGGCGAGUCUACUGCGACCAGGAAACUGAGGGGGGCGGCUGGACGGUCUUUCAGGUGCGCGAUGACGUUGAGCCUCACGAGAACUUCAUGCGAGGCUGGGAAGACUACAAGGUGGGAUUCGGGGACUUCGACCGAGAGUUUUGGCUGGGCAACAUCCUGCUGUGGUCGCUCACCAACACAGACAACGCCACCAAGCACGAGUUGCACAUAGAGCUGGAGGACUGGUCGGGCAACAGACGCUUUGCCCGCUAUAGGGGAUUCAAGCUGGGGCCAGAGGAAGACGAUUUUAGACUCCACCACGACAAUGUUUUCUUCGGCAACGCGGGGGAUGCUCUGUUCUCUCACAACGGGCUUCCCUUUUCAACAUUCGACGUGGAUAACGACGCGCGGGAUGGAGACUACGUGGAGAGAAGUUGUGCCCGAUUGUACAAAGGCGCCUGGUGGUACGGGAACUGCCACGACUCUAACCUGAACGGGUGGUACCUUGGGGGAUCGCACCGUUCUUUUGCCGACGGGGUCAACUGGUUCACCUGGACUGGCUACAACUAUUCCCUAAAGCGAACCAUCAUGAAGUUCAGACCUCAGCGGAGCGGCCCCAUCCCCGUCGGCUAUGAUACCUUCAUCAUUGCCAAUAAGAAGAGGAGUCUGGACACUGCCACUCCUUCUCGACCCCGACAGAGAAUGGAGGAAGAUGAGGGGAAGGGAAAAGAGAGAAAGCAACGGCAGCAGCUUUCAUCUCACCCUCUUGAGUUGACGGGGAAAAGACGCAGUGUUCCGGAGUUACUGAGCAGCCGUAACACGCUCACCAAUAGAGCUGAUCGGGAAUUAUAGCACCAUAGACACUACCACCGCAGCCGCCACUCCCGCCACUGAUGACUUACAGUAGGGUGAUUCUUACCCAGAAGUAAAAAAAGUCAACUUGCAGUUCCGACCGGGUGCCAUUGUCUCCUUUUCAUGACGUGCUGGUGCAUCAAUUCAUUCCCUCACUCGUGUAUGUAUGUAUGUAUGUAUGUAUGUAUUUAUUCACGUAUGUAUGAACGUAACACUGGAGAAAAAAGAGACACUACCUCAAACAUAAAAACCUCGCAACUCGUUACCACCACCCAUGCAAGUAUUGUUGAUGCAGGAGAGGGCAAUGAAUGGAGUACGUGCUCUUACUUCCCAUCAUGCCUCACCUCCCUCUCCAACACCUGCAGAAAUCACGUUGUUUCAAAUUUUCGUAAGAGUGACUCGUUGUCGAAUUGGAGUAAAAUUCAUAUUCUUUUCACCGUUAUACAACUCAGUAACUCCUAACAGGCCGUAGCGAAAAUCAUGGUGGUUUUCUGAAGUGUCUAUAUGAAUUUAGUGAUCGCUGAACAAGGAAUUCUGUACCAUCAAAAGAAGAAACACUCAUGAGAACCUAACUGAUAAUCUCUGUUGGUCCGAGUGCUUAAGAAUACUAAUCUACUCGUUACAGACUUACAGCGUGACUUUUAAGCUUCGUACUUUGAGACACUUUGGGUUCCCAUAUAUGCUUUUUAUCCAUAGUGUAGGUCUUUUCUAAAAACCAUUUAUAAAAUCUAGAAAACAUCCUUUAAAUCUCCGAAAAUCCCAAAUCAUAGCUUGUUAUUUAUAAGCAAUCGAGACAGGAAGUCAACGAAGCUUUUGAUAAUGCCGUGAUGGAUAUUAGACGUGUGAAUCGUGUUACUCAGGAACGACACACAACACCUGCUUGAACACACGUGAUGGCAAGAAGACAUCCACUGAGAAAGGUGUGAUGUGUGCACUUUUACCGAUGACCCAGACUAACUCAUCACGCGCGUGCCUUACAGUGGACUGACUGACUGACUGAAUGACUGACCGAAACUAACACAAGACUCCUUCGUGACGUGUUUAUGCAGCGUAACUGACUGAUAGGUUAUAGUGACGUGACAUGUAAACGAUCUAUUGACUGUGACUAUUGACUUAUGGUUCUUGAGUGUGGCAUGAAUGUUACAUGACUAUUAGGUCGUGACCUGCUAUGAAUGAUUUCUUAUUUGGGACUGUGAAUAUAGCGUGACUAAGUAACAAUGCAACCCACUACAUAACCCGGAUGUUCUGAUGUAUUGAUUUUGUGUUCAUGUCAUCUCCGUGCUCGACUUCACACACUCACUCACUGACAUGAAUUAAAGGAUAGGUUAACUGAGUGACUGACUAAGCACGAAACUUAUUGACUGACUGACUCCGGAUAGAAUUUACUAAAUGAAUUAUUCAAUUAAUGACUGACUAAGCACGAAACUUAUUGAUUGACUGACUCUGGAUAGAAUUUACUAAAUUAAUUAUUCAAUUAAUGACUGACUAAGCACGAAACUUAUUGAUUGACUGACUCCGGAUAGAAUUUACUAAAUGAAUUAUUCAAUUAAUGACUGACCAAAUUUGUGUUACUGAGGCUCGUAUUCUAAAACAGUUCGCUCUCUUGCUAUCAAUGCUUUCCAAAGACUCUAAUUGAAGAUACUCAUAUUUUUAAGGAUGUUUUUAUGGUUCUGUUGACAGACUGGCAAAAUUUUUAGUUAAUCAAAAGGAUAAAAUGUCUUGAGAACUCGCCCAGUCGUUUCUGUGGUCUGGAGAAAUUGUCGUGGUGAGAUGGCAAAGCGUUUCUGAAUGUGGGCGUGAGAGCACUACGUCUAACUGUCUGUUUCCGAUAUUACCGACUGACUGAUGGACUGUAAACUUGCUGGCCUCUUGACUGACUGGCUGACUGACUUAUAUAACAUCGAAUGACAGAAUAACUGACUGAUAGAAUAACUUACUGACUGGAUGAUUAACUGAUUGAUCAUGAAACUCGCGACUAAUUGACUGACUGGUUAAUUGCAUAAUUUAUUGACUUACAGGCUAACAAUCUGACUGACUGACUGACUGACUGAUACAUUAACCGACUAUUUUGUUACGUAAUGUAUUGACUGACACAUUGACUGACUAAAUCACUUAUUAACUAACUGAAUGAUGGAUUUACUGAUCACAUAGUUUACUGACUUACAGGUUCAUAAUUUGACCUCAUAACUGACUAAUAUAUUACCUAACUAAGAGCUUUACUACACAAUUUACUGACUGAUCUAUUGACUAACUUACUGACUUACUGAAUGAUGGACUGACUGACCAUAUAAAUAUACUUAGUUAACUGACUAAAUUACUAAGUGACUGAUUGACCGUCAGUUUGACUAAUUUACGAGUGGCUGACUGCUUGACAAAAUUAUUGAUUAACUGACGGGCAAAAAUAACUUAAUUAGAUUCAACAGAAUCACUGAUCAGGUACUACCAGACUGACUGAUUGACUGUGAAUAAACGGAAUGAUUGACUGACUGACCAACCGAUCGUGCCAUUGACUUUCUGACUAACUGACAAACUGACUGUAGUUGACUAAUUGACAAACUGACAGACUGAUCAACUGACUGAAGCAACUGCUGGAAGAGUACAAGUGUGGUUAACUGAUCGACCUUUAGGUCUGGAUGACUGACUCAUUGACUCACUGACUGAGUGACUGAUCAGUGACUGACUGACUGUCUUUCAAGCUGAAUGGCUGACUUACUGAUUGAUUGUUUGGUAUGGUGACUGACUGACGAAUUGAUUGAUUAACUGACAGACUGACAAUUAAUUUAUGGUCUGACUUUAAAUGAGUAUACUCAAGUUAAUGACCAAUAUUAUCAACUGACUUAUCCAACUCUGUGACUAUCUGAGACUGAAUGACUAAAUGACUGACUGACUACCUGACUAACUAAUUACACAAGUUUCUGCUUUAUUAAAUCACUUAAAUAGAAGACUGCAUGAUAUUACGAAUGAUUUAUCACUGACAUGAUGUGCAUAUCCUCCUGUCUGAUGAGUGAAUGAGAUGAGUAAGUGAGUAAGUGAGUGAAUGAAUGACUGAGUGACUAAGUGACCAUUGAUCCUUCUUCCUUUUCCCAGAUCAACUGACUGACUUAUUCACUGUUUAAUCGACUGACAGUAAUUUAGACAGAGUUACCUUUGACUACAUGACUGACAGUGAUUUAGACUCCGGGUGAACGAACGACUGAUCUCCUUAUUUCUUAAAAACUGACAGAGUUUAACUAGCAGACUAACAGGCUUAACUCUCUCAUCAAUUGACAAACUGUAUUUUGUGCCUGAUUGUUCUAAACUUCUUGAGUGUUUUGCUGUCCUGCCUGAUUGACUGACUGAUCGACUGAAUGAGACACUAUAAAAUUGACUUGAAUUAAUUCUUGCCACUGACUAAAACUGACGUUGCUUACAUUUCAAGGCUUGACUUUCUGAAUGACUGGAUAACUGACUUAUUGACUAAUUGUUGAAAUAGCUAAACUUGACAAAGACUCGUUUUAUGUACAUGUUGUGUAUACAUGAUGACUGAAAUUACCUGGAAUAGAAUAAUCUAACAAAGUAAAUAUUCCAUUUUUUUUUUUGUGUCAUUGUUUUUCUGACAGCCUGACUGACUUAUUAUUGGUGACGUGUCUGCUACAGUAACUGCAUUUAAAAAGACUGAGUGAUUGACGACUGUACAUGAAAGGAUGCGAUAUUGCCUUAAACUGAUAAACAAGUGAGAAAUUAACGCAAUGAAUGAAUGAAGAAUGCACUGAACUAAGAUACUGACUUAUGACAUGACUGACUGAUUGACUGGGUAGUGAAGUGACCUGGGAGCGUUUGUUAAUUUGUAAACUAUCCAGUAAAAUUAUUUCAGAAACAUAGUGAAGUGAUGCAGUUUGCCGUGAUUAGCUUGUUGAGAGGAGGUGGAGUCCUUUGUCAUACUUCCUAAGUCGUAAUUCAUAUAGGCAAUGACGCACAUAGCAUCGGCGACCUGAUGGACUUUAUUAAAGUAUAGACUUCAGCAGUCGCGUAUUUACAAAUGUUCACAUACACAAGUAAAUAAGACAGUGAUCUAUUACAGUGCGUUGUGAUCUAUUUGUAUUUUUACUUGUUUCUUUCUUUAUCUAUUUAUGGACGUAACUAUUUGAUUUCUUUAUAUCUACAAGCGUCCAGUCAGUGAGAACAUAUAAGGAUUGCUUGUGGUUCACCCAGUCACCGUGUGUUGUUUUAUCACCAAAACACCACACCAAUUAUGAAGUUACUGUAAUUACAUAGCUGGAUAUGACGGUGACUCAGAAGUGGUUACUAAGACGUAGUGCAUUUAGGUUUGGAAUGCUGUGUGGCUGUUUCUAUAACUUACAAUUUAGACCUGCUCGUGAAUCAUAACUAACGAUGACUGGUGACAAAAAGCAAUUCACUGCCAACUAUGGAAUGCUGAAUUAUAACUAGUUGCUGAUAUCACUUAGGAUGACGUGACUGACUGAUGUGAUGCUUAGUAUUGCCUUGUGACUUGUGAAAUGGUUCGUAACUAAUAGUGGAGAAUGAUUCGUAACAUAGACAAUAAUUCUCUCUCUCUCUCUCUCUCUCUCUCUCUCUCUCUCUCUCUCUCUCUCUCUCUCUCUCUUUCUCUCUUAUAUAGUAUGGCUCAUAACCUGAUAUUUAGUUUUGAGUUCCAGCAUUGUAUUCCACUACUGACUGAGUGAGUGGCUGAUGACGUGAUCUUACUGACAGAAUGACUGAUUGAUUUACUGACUGACCAGGUGAAUUACUGAAUACUUUUUUUAUUUACUGACAGAUAAGAUCAAUGACUGACGGACUAACUUAUUAACACACUCACCAAAUAUCUGACUGACUGAUUAACUAACUGACUGACUGACCUGAUAAAUUAGUGAUAAGUUGAGUUGAUUGACUGAUUAUAUAGUUCAGUGACUGAAUGAUUAACCCCUUCAGUACCAUGACACGUUUUCAUGAUUAUUCUGCUUAGUAUUUGCUGAUUUUACACAGCUUCAGAAAUUUACUUCGGGGUUAAUAUAGUGAAGACUCUAGCCAUUAAACUUCUA
rnacentral:misc_RNA from 1 species